UUAAGCGACUAAGCGUACACGGUGGAUGCCCUGGCAGUCAGAGGCGAUGAAGGACGUGCUAAUCUGCGAAAAGCGUCGGUAAGGUGAUAUGAACCGUUAUAACCGGCGAUGUCCGAAUGGGGAAACCCAGUGUGAUUCGUCACACUAUCGUUAACUGAAUACAUAGGUUAACGAGGCGAACCGGGGGAACUGAAACAUCUAAGUACCCCGAGGAAAAGAAAUCAACCGAGAUUCCCCCAGUAGCGGCGAGCGAACGGGGAGCAGCCCAGAGUCUGAAUCAGCUUGUGUGUUAGUGGAACGGUCUGGAAAGUCCGACGGUACAGGGUGAUAGUCCCGUACACCAAAAUGCACAGGUUGUGAACUCGAAGAGUAGGGCGGGACACGUGGUAUCCUGUCUGAAUAUGGGGGACCAUCCUCCAAGGCUAAAUACUCCUGACUGACCGAUAGUGAACCAGUACCGUGAGGGAAAGGCGAAAAGAACCCCGGCGAGGGGAGUGAAAAAGAACCUGAAACCGUGUACGUACAAGCAGUGGGAGCACCUUCGGGUGUGACUGCGUACCUUUUGUAUAAUGGGUCAGCGACUUAUAUUCUGUAGCAAGGUUAACCGUAUAGGGGAGCCGCAGGGAAACCGAGUCUUAACUGGGCGUUAAGUUGCAGGGUAUAGACCCGAAACCCGGUGAUCUAGCCAUGGGCAGGUUGAAGGUUGGGUAACACUAACUGGAGGACCGAACCGACUAAUGUUGAAAAAUUAGCGGAUGACUUGUGGCUGGGGGUGAAAGGCCAAUCAAACCGGGAGAUAGCUGGUUCUCCCCGAAAGCUAUUUAGGUAGCGCCUCGUGAAUUCAUCUUCGGGGGUAGAGCACUGUUUCGGCUAGGGGGUCAUCCCGACUUACCAACCCGAUGCAAACUACGAAUACCGAAGAAUGUUAUCACGGGAGACACACGGCGGGUGCUAACGUCCGUCGUGAAGAGGGAAACAACCCAGACCGCCAGCUAAGGUCCCAAAGUCAUGGUUAAGUGGGAAACGAUGUGGGAAGGCACAGACAGCCAGGAUGUUGGCUUAGAAGCAGCCAUCAUUUAAAGAAAGCGUAAUAGCUCACUGGUCGAGUCGGCCUGCGCGGAAGAUGUAACGGGGCUAAACCAUGCACCGAAGCUGCGGCAGCGACACUAUGUGUUGUUGGGUAGGGGAGCGUUCUGUAAGCCUGCGAAGGUGGCCUGUGAGGGUUGCUGGAGGUAUCAGAAGUGCGAAUGCUGACAUAAGUAACGAUAAAGCGGGUGAAAAGCCCGCUCGCCGGAAGACCAAGGGUUCCUGUCCAACGUUAAUCGGGGCAGGGUGAGUCGACCCCUAAGGCGAGGCCGAAAGGCGUAGUCGAUGGGAAACAGGUUAAUAUUCCUGUACUUGGUGUUACUGCGAAGGGGGGACGGAGAAGGCUAUGUUAGCCGGGCGACGGUUGUCCCGGUUUAAGCAUGUAGGCUGGUUAUCCAGGCAAAUCCGGAUAAUCAAGGCUGAGGUGUGAUGACGAGGCACUACGGUGCUGAAGUAACAAAUGCCCUGCUUCCAGGAAAAGCCUCUAAGCAUCAGGUAACAUUAAAUCGUACCCCAAACCGACACAGGUGGUCAGGUAGAGAAUACCAAGGCGCUUGAGAGAACUCGGGUGAAGGAACUAGGCAAAAUGGUGCCGUAACUUCGGGAGAAGGCACGCUGGUGUGUAGGUGAAGUCCCUGCGGAUGGAGCUGAGAUCAGUCGAAGAUACCAGCUGGCUGCAACUGUUUAUUAAAAACACAGCACUGUGCAAACACGAAAGUGGACGUAUACGGUGUGACGCCUGCCCGGUGCCGGAAGGUUAAUUGAUGGGGUUAUCCGUAAGGAGAAGCUCUUGAUCGAAGCCCCGGUAAACGGCGGCCGUAACUAUAACGGUCCUAAGGUAGCGAAAUUCCUUGUCGGGUAAGUUCCGACCUGCACGAAUGGCGUAAUGAUGGCCAGGCUGUCUCCACCCGAGACUCAGUGAAAUUGAACUCGCUGUGAAGAUGCAGUGUACCCGCGGCAAGACGGAAAGACCCCGUGAACCUUUACUAUAGCUUGACACUGAACAUUGAGCCUUGAUGUGUAGGAUAGGUGGGAGGCUUUGAAGCGUGGACGCCAGUCUGCGUGGAGCCAACCUUGAAAUACCACCCUUUAAUGUUUGAUGUUCUAACGUUGGCCCCUGACCGGGGUUGCGGACAGUGUCUGGUGGGUAGUUUGACUGGGGCGGUCUCCUCCCAAAGCGUAACGGAGGAGCACGAAGGUUAGCUAAUCCUGGUCGGACAUCAGGAGGUUAGUGCAAUGGCAUAAGCUAGCUUGACUGCGAGCGUGACGGCGCGAGCAGGUGCGAAAGCAGGUCAUAGUGAUCCGGUGGUUCUGAAUGGAAGGGCCAUCGCUCAACGGAUAAAAGGUACUCCGGGGAUAACAGGCUGAUACCGCCCAAGAGUUCAUAUCGACGGCGGUGUUUGGCACCUCGAUGUCGGCUCAUCACAUCCUGGGGCUGAAGUAGGUCCCAAGGGUAUGGCUGUUCGCCAUUUAAAGUGGUACGCGAGCUGGGUUUAGAACGUCGUGAGACAGUUCGGUCCCUAUCUGCCGUGGGCGCUGGAGAAUUGAGGGGGGCUGCUCCUAGUACGAGAGGACCGGAGUGGACGCAUCACUGGUGUUCGGGUUGUCAUGCCAAUGGCACUGCCCGGUAGCUAAAUGCGGAAGAGAUAAGUGCUGAAAGCAUCUAAGCACGAAACUUGCCCCGAGAUGAGUUCUCCCUGAGACUUUAAGUCUCCUGAAGGAACGUUGAAGACGACGACGUUGAUAGGCCGGGUGUGUAAGCGCAGCGAUGCGUUGAGCUAACCGGUACUAAUGAACCGUGAGGCUUAACCUU
rnacentral:rRNA from 1 species